rnacentral:lncRNA from 1 species
AAAAAAAAAAAAAAAAAAAAAAAAAAAAAAAAAAAAAAAAAAAAAAAAAAAAAAAAAAAAAAAAAAAAAAAAAAAAAAAAAAAAAAAAAAAAAAAAAAAAAAAAAAAAAAAAAAAAAAAAAAAAAAAAAAAAAAAAAAAAAAAAAAAAAAAAAAAAAAAAAAAAAAAAAAAAAAAAAAAAAAAAAAAAAAAAAAAAAAAAAAAAAAAAAAAAAAAAAAAAAAAAAAAAAAAAAAAAAAAAAAAAAAAAAAAAAAAAAAAAAAAAAAAAAAAAAAAAAAAAAAAAAAAAAAAAAAAAAAAAAAAAAAAAAAAAAAAAAAAAAAAAAAAAAAAAAAAAAAAAAAAAAAAAAAAAAAAAAAAAAAAAAAAAAAAAAAAAAAAAAAAAAAAAAAAAAAAAAAAAAAAAAAAAAAAAAAAAAAAAAAAAAAAAAAAAAAAAAAAAAAAAAAAAAAAAAAAAAAAAAAAAAAAAAAAAAAAAAAAAAAAAAAAAAAAAAAAAAAAAAAAAAAAAAAAAAAAAAAAAAAAAAAAAAAAAAAAAAAAAAAAAAAAAAAAAAAAAAAAAAAAAAAAAAAAAAAAAAAAAAAAAAAAAAAAAAAAAAAAAAAAAAAAAAAAAAAAAAAAAAAAAAAAAAAAAAAAAAAAAAAAAAAAAAAAAAAAAAAAAAAAAAAAAAAAAAAAAAAAAAAAAAAAAAAAAAAAAAAAAAAAAAAAAAAAAAAAAAAAAAAAAAAAAAAAAAAAAAAAAAAAAAAAAAAAAAUAAAAAAAAAAAAAAAAAAAAAAAAAAAAAAAAAAAAAAAAAAAAAAAAAAAAAAAAAAAAAAAAAAAAAAAAAAAAAAAAAAAAAAAAAAAAAAAAAAAAAAAAAAAAAAAAAAAAAAAAAAAAAAAAAAAAAAAAAAAAAAAAAAAAAAAAAAAAAAAAAAAAAAAAAAAAAAAAAAAAAAAAAAAAAAAAAAAAAAAAAAAAAAAAAAAAAAAAAAAAAAAAAAAAAAAAAAAAAAAAAAAAAAAAAAAAAAAAAAAAAAAAAAAAAAAAAAAAAAAAAAAAAAAAAAAAAAAAAAAAAAAAAAAAAAAAAAAAAAAAAAAAAAAAAAAAAAAAAAAAAAAAAAAAAAAAAAAAAAAAAAAAAAAAAAAAAAAAAAAAAAAAAAAAAAAAAAAAAAAAAAAAAAAAAAAAAUAAAAAAAAAAAAAAAAAAAAAAAAAAAAAAAAAAAAAAAAAAAAAAAAAAAAAAAAAAAAAAAAAAAAAAAAAAAAAAAAAAAAAAAAAAAAAAAAAAAAAAAAAAAAAAAAAAAAAAAAAAAAAAAAAAAAAAAAAAAAAAAAAAAAAAAAAAAUAAAAAAAAAAAAAAAAAAAAAAAAAAAAAAAAAAAAAAAAAAAAAAAAAAAAAAAAAAAAAAAAAAAAAAAAAAAAAAAAAAAAAAAAAAAAAAAAAAAAAAAAAAAAAAAAAAAAAAAAAAAAAAAAAAAAAAAAAAAAAAAAAAAAAAAAAAAAAAAAAAAAAAAAAAAAAAAAAAAAAAAAAAAAAAAAAAAAAAAAAAAAAAAAAAAAAAAAAAAAAAAAAAAAAAAAAAAAAAAAAAAAAAAAAAAAAAAAAAAAAAAAAAAAAAAAAAAAAAAAAAAAAAAAAAAAAAAAAAAAAAAAAAAAAAAAAAAAAAAAAAAAAAAAAAAAAAAAAAAAAAAAAAAAAAAAAAAAAAAAAAAAAAAAAAAAAAAAAAAAAAAAAAAAAAAAAAAAAAAAAAAAAAAAAAAAAAAAAAAAAAAAAAAAAAAAAAAAAAAAAAAAAAAAAAAAAAAAAAAAAAAAAAAAAAAAAAAAAAAAAAAAAAAAAAAAAAAAAAAAAAAAAAAAAAAAAAAAAAAAAAAAAAAAAAAAAAAAAAAAAAAAAAAAAAAAAAAAAAAAAAAAAAAAAAAAAAAAAAAAAAAAAAAAAAAAAAAAAAAAAAAAAAAAAAAAAAAAAAAAAAAAAAAAAAAAAAAAAAAAAAAAAAAAAAAAAAAAAAAAAAAAAAAAAAAUAAAAAAAAAAAAAAAAAAAAAAAAAAAAAAAAAAAAAAAAAAAAAAAAAAAAAAAAAAAAAAAAAAAAAAAAAAAAAAAAAAAAAAAAAAAAAAAAAAAAAAAAAAAAAAAAAAAAAAAAAAAAAAAAAAAAAAAAAAAAAAAAAAAAAAAAAAAAAAAAAAAAAAAAAAAAAAAAAAAAAAAAAAAAAAAAAAAAAAAAAAAAAAAAAAAAAAAAAAAAAAAAAAAAAAAAAAAAAAAAAAAAAAAAAAAAAAAAAAAAAAAAAAAAAAAAAAAAAAAAAAAAAAAAAAAAAAAAAAAAAAAAAAAAAAAAAAAAAAAAAAAAAAAAAAAAAAAAAAAAAAAAAAAAAAAAAAAAAAAAAAAAAAAAAAAAAAAAAAAAAAAAAAAAAAAAAAAAAUAAAAAAAAAAAAAAAAAAAAAAAAAAAAAAAAAAAAAAAAAAAAAAAAAAAAAAAAAAAAAAAAAAAAAAAAAAAAAAAAAAAAAAAAAAAAAAAAAAAAAAAAAA